GCAUCGGUGGUUCAGUGGUAGAAUGUUCGACUGCCACGCGGGUUCGAUUCCCGGCCGAUGCA
rnacentral:tRNA from 1 species